GUCGCUACUACCGAUUGAAUGGUUAUAGUGAGCAUAUGGGAUCAGUAGAAUUAGACUGGCACCAGUCUUUCUCUGCAGAGAACUAUGGCAAACUAGGCUAUUUAGAGGAAGUAAAAGUCGUAACAAGGUUUCCGUAGGUGAACCUGCGGAAGGAUCAUUA
rnacentral:rRNA from 1 species